rnacentral:rRNA from 1 species
GCAAGUCGAACGGUAACGACACUAGCUUGCUAGUGGUCGACGAGUGGCGGACGGGUGAGUAACGCGUAGGAAUCUACCUAGUAGUGGGGGAUAGCCAAGGGAAACUUUGGGUAAUACCGCAUACGAUCUAAGGAUGAAAGGGGGCCUCUCUUUGAAGCUCUCGCUAUUAGAUGAGCCUGCGUAAGAUUAGCUUGUUGGUGGGGUAAUGGCCCACCAAGGCGACGAUCUUUAGCUGGUCUGAGAGGAUGAUCAGUCACACUGGAACUGAGACACGGUCCAGACUCCUACGGGAGGCAGCAGUCGGGAAUAUUGGACAAUGGGGGAAACCCUGAUCCAGCCAUGCCGCGUGUGUGAAGAAGGCCCUAGGGUUGUAAAGCACUUUUAGUAGUGAGGAAGGCUCAGUAGUUAAUACCUACUGGGAUUGACGUUAGCUACAGAAAAAGCACCGGCUAAUUUCGUGCCAGCAGCCGCGGUAAUACGAAAGGUGCAAGCGUUAAUCGGAAUUACUGGGCGUAAAGCGCGCGUAGGCGGCUUGGUAAGUUGGAUGUGAAAGCCCCGGGCUCAACCUGGGAACUGCAUCCAAAACUGCCUAGCUAGAGUAUGGUAGAGGAUGGCGGAAUUUCCUGUGUAGCGGUGAAAUGCGUAGAUAUAGGAAGGAACAUCAGUGGCGAAGGCGGCCAUCUGGACCAAUACUGACGCUGAGGUGCGAAAGCGUGGGGAGCAAACAGGAUUAGAUACCCUGGUAGUCCACGCCGUAAACGAUGAGAACUAGCCGUUGGACAUCUUGCAUGUUUAGUGGCGCAGCUAACGCGAUAAGUUCUCCGCCUGGGGAGUACGGCCGCAAGGUUAAAACUCAAAUGAAUUGACGGGGGCCCGCACAAGCGGUGGAGCAUGUGGUUUAAUUCGACGCAACGCGAAGAACCUUACCUACACUUGACAUCCUCGGAACUUUCUAGAGAUAGAUUGGUGCCUUCGGGA